rnacentral:rRNA from 1 species
GACGAACGCUGGCGGCGUGCCUAAUACAUGCAAGUAGAACGCACAGUUUAUACCGUAGCUUGCUACACCAUAGACUGUGAGUUGCGAACGGGUGAGUAACGCGUAGGUAACCUGCCUGGUAGCGGGGGAUAACUAUUGGACACGAUAGCUAAUACCGCAUAAUAUUAAUUAUUUCUUGAUAAUUAAUUGAAAGUUCCAAUUGCACCACUACCAGCUGGCCCUGCGUUGUAUUAGCUAGUAGGUGAGGUAACGGCUCACCUAGGCGACGAUACAUAGCCGACCUGAGAGGGUGAUCGGCCACACUGAGACUGAGACACGGCCCAGACUCCUACGGGAGGCGGCAGUAGGGAAUCUUCGGCAAUGGACGAAAGUCUGACCGAGAAACGCCGCGUGAGUGAAGAAGGUUUUCGGAUCGUAAAGCUCUGUUGUAAGAGAAGAACGGGUGUGAGAGUGGAAAGUUCACACUGUGACGGUAUCUUACCAGAGAGGGAGGGCUAGCUACGUG